rnacentral:rRNA from 1 species
AGUGAACGCUGGCGGUAGGCCUAACACAUGCAAGUCGAACGGCAGCACAGUAAGAGCUUGCUCUUACGGGUGGCGAGUGGCGGACGGGUGAGGAAUACAUCGGAAUCUACUUUUUCGUGGGGGAUAACGUAGGGAAACUUACGCUAAUACCGCAUACGACCUACGGGUGAAAGCAGGGGAUCUUCGGACCUUGCGCGAUUGAAUGAGCCGAUGUCGGAUUAGCUAGUUGGCGGGGUAAAGGCCCACCAAGGCGACGAUCCGUAGCUGGUCUGAGAGGAUGAUCAGCCACACUGGAACUGAGACACGGUCAAGAGUCCUACGGGAGGCAGCAGUGGGGAAUAUUGGACAAUGGGCGCAAGCCUGAUCCAGCCAUACCGCGUGGGUGAAGAAGGCCUUCGGGUUGUAAAGCCCUUUUGUUGGGAAAGAAAAGCAGCAGGUUAAUACCCCGCUGUUCUGACGGUACCCAAAGAAUAAGCACCGGCUAACUUCGUG